AUUCUCUCUUUCCUGCUGCCAUGUAAGACAUGUCUUGCUUUCCCUUUGCCUUCUGCCAUGAUUUUAAGUUUCCUGAGGCCUCCCCAGCCACGCUGAACUCUCUACAUGGUGAAUUGGUACCUGACCUUCUUUCAUAAGACGGAAAACUGGGGCAUGGAACUUGUCAGUGAAGCUCAGCAUGCUACAAGAGCAUCUUGGUUUGUCCUAGUUGAGGACUGGAAAAUCUCAAUCUCUAGUCAACAAAUGAAAUUUGCUGCAGUUUCUUAUUCGCUGAGGCUCUGCAUUUCUGUUCUCUCCCGUUAUGGAUUUAUUUCUCUUUGUAUUUGAAAAACACAAGACACUAUUGGCAAUAAAUGGUAGUACUAUGUCUUGCAAAACAGCUGAACUGCACCAAACCCAUGACAGCUCCUAGACCUCCAGCUUUCCAUCUGGUGAGAUUCACUCUGAGCUGGGAGCUCCCGCUGACUUGACUGCAAAAGAAAGAAGCAUCACCAAUGGAGAUUAAUCCUCCCAUCAGCCUUGAGAGAAAGGGCUGCAGGCCCGUGUGGAUUUGCUCAGCACGCCACUGACUUUAUUAAACAACCUACCGGACAAAGGGAAACAAAGUCUCUCCCUCUUUCCAAAGAGCACUGUGCCAAAAAUGUGUAUUAGAUGGUCAAAGGCCACAGGGUCAGGUCCAAAUGCAGCUUUUCUAGAUACAAUGAAGCACUUUCCCAUGUUGCAGCUCAAUCAAACAUAGUUUUUGUAAGCCAGGGAAAUUCAGAAGGAGGCUUGCGGUAAUUUAGCAAUCGUUUUUCUUAUUUUCUGUAGUUAAUUUAGGAGGAGGUCACUUGUUUGCUUAACGAAUAUUGAAUUCCGUGCCAGAGAGGGAGCGAGGGCCUGGGAGCAGAGAGGUAGGAAUGUGCCGCACAGUCUCUGCCCCAGGGAGUGCACGGGGUGGAGAGAUGGGGUGUGGAGGCGACAAUCAAGUAAAUCCACAGUUCCAGCAUGUCAGCAGGAGCCUGGGUCUCGAAUCGCACGCAGCGGGCUUGGAGUUGAUAAGAUGUGCCUAGUCAGCCUAGGGAGGAAUCAACCAGACUUCACAGAGGAGGUCAGCCUUUGAGGAGUCAUUCACUUAUUUGCAAUUUAUGGAUCCAUUUAAUAAAUAUUAUGGAAUGUUAAUUUCAUUUUAUGCUAGGUGUCAUGGGCUGAGUGCUGGCCACCCCACAUCACCAGAGUCUGUGUCUGUGUCCUAGUCUUCGGAGCCCAUGAAUGUUAUCUUCUAUGGCAAUAGACGUGAUGAAGGGAAAGCCUUUGAGAACAGGCCUUUGUUCUGGAUUAUCUGGAUGGGCCCUAAAUAGAAUCACAGGUAUUCUCAUAAGAGAGGCAGAGGUAGUUUUAGACAGACACACACAGAGAAGGCAAUGUGAAGAUGGAAAUAGGAGUGAUGGGAUGACAAGCUGAAGAAUGCCAAGGAAUGCUGGAGGUCACCACAAACUAGGGGACAGGCAUGGGACAUGGGACAGAUUCUACCCACCCUACACCCCAGUCUGGGGAGGGAGUGCGUCCUGCUGACACCUUGUUUCGAAACAUCUUGGCCCUCCCUCAGGGAGCUAAGGUCUAGCGCAGGUGGCACACUGGGGGUGAUGAGCGCCCAGGCCCUGUGGAGGCCACGGGUGACCUUGGUAAGCACAGCUACAAGGAAAUGUGAGGCAGAAGCCAGAGGGCAGGGAAGGGGCAAGCAAACUGUGUCCGUGGCAAUGAAGGACCAUUUUGGAACACCUGUCUGUCCCAAUAUGUUUUACUGAGGUCAAUGCAACAAACUCCUUUUUAAAAAAUAAUGUUGAUAUUAUUUUCUGAUUAUAAAAGAAUAUAUAUAUAUACAUUGAAGAAAAUUGGAAAAAUACAGGAAGAUAGAACAGAAAUAAAAACUGCCCAUGCUCUCACUAUGCAGAGAUAAUCCUUAUG